GUAACAAUUCUGCAUCCACCCAAACCUCCUAGCUGCUUCUUGGUGGUAGGCCGUCUGAGGGAACCAAUUGGAUCCAAAUUUAUUUUGCUAACCAUCUCAGGGCAGCUGCACCCUGGGGCCAGGCAGGCCUCCUAUGGCACACUCAGGCCCAGCGGUGAGUGGGGACAGAUGGAAGCUGCACUGGGAAGCUAUGACGGUCACCGGGAGACUGAGUUAGAGGAACUCUUAAGAAGGUAGGUCGUUCGCUUGGCUCAAGCUGGGGGAAUGAGGCCAGUUGAGCGGAAGUAUCUUCAGGUCAGGAAUGGAUGUGUGGCAUCACUAUUACUUUUGAUGUCGGUGGCUGGCAUGGUUUAUCCGUCCUGGUUCUCUCUCCCACUGAAUCUAGCAAGCCUGGCUCAAAAUCCUUUUAACACACGGCUCACGGAAGCCACUGCCAAUCAGCUGAGGUUGACCCCAAAGGGGAAACUUAUUGGCCAUCUUGGCUCUAGGAGACCAGCACUAAGGAAGCCUGAGGUUGGGGGGGUCUCCCAUUGCGUCAAAUGUGGGGUGGGGGCUGGGGACCAGACAUCGUGGCCAUUGCCUGCUAAGCAUGUUUGAGUCUGGUCUCAGGGUACAUGGGGUUGAAGCUUAUUGCUACUCAAGCACGUGUCUGACCAUGAAGACCACGUGCCUGGUCCUCCUGAUUUAGACUGCAAGUUCCCCAAGGGUAGGGGUGGUACCCUAUUCACCUCUCCACCAGCCUCGGCACCUACCCAUGGCGCGGGGUUCUCAGGACACUUGAACUGAGGGAACUGGAAGGGGAUGCCCGGAAGAGAUGACGUGAGCAGUUUACUCAGUGGAAAGCAACAAAUGACUGAUCUUUACUUACUCAAGUUCAAAUUUUCUUUUAUAUCCUUUGGAAAGAUAGUUUGGGGAUAAUGGUAGGUUUCCGCUGAGUGGUAUUAUGCACAGAACCUGAGGUACUGCUCCCCUGCCCCCUUUCUGAAGCCACCUUCCUGCAAAGGGCCUAACCCCGCACGGGGAAAGCCUGCAGCUAAGCUUUGUGUGAGUCCUGGAAACAUCCAGAUCUCCUAAAGCGUCUCCAGAGGCCUCCAGGCACUUGGAUCAGUUACACAGCCUGACGAGCACCCUAACGGCUUCCUCUCUGGUCCUCCACUUCUCCCCAAGAGAGGUUUUGGGCUGAGUCCACAUUGCGGCUCACCCAGGAGGUCCUAGGAUGGCUUGAGUCCUUGGGUCCUGCCCCCUCCUCUCCUACUUGACCUUCAGGUGGGGUUUAUGAGCACGACUUAAGAAGCUCGGCUGCCUGGGUUUGCCCUCCUCCCUGCUCUUGUCUCCCCCGGCACCUGGCUCUGAAGACCGGGCCUCAUGACGCACAGCUGCUCCACACCCCGGGCUACCAAACAACCAGGCCGACCCUCCAGGCUUACCCUCCCCUCUGUGUUGCAGGGCAGGAAGCAGCCCAUUUUGCCUGAUGGACUUCUGUUCUGGCUCUCUGAGGGAGCAGCUCUUCUUGGCAUUGUGGUCCACAUGGGAAGGCCACAGGACAUUGAACCUGGGGUUGCUUGUCCAUGCUGACGGAGCACCAGGCAGCUUCGCCUCACUUGGAAGCAGACCUGCCCAGUCCUUGCUCAUUGGUGUCCUUUGGCGGCUCCAGUGGGUGAGCUCACUCUCCACCAUCUUUGCUGGCACCCAUGGAGCAACGGGCUUUAAGGAAAGACAGCCAGACCUAUAGUCAUGUUUUCCAGCCAGUCAAGGCUCCCCCCUAGUCUUCACUUGAGCUCUAGUGAUGAAGACCCUGAGGGAUGCGGCACCUCCCCAUGGGUUCCUGUGCGGGAGUCAGAUGACCCUGAGCUGAGAUGUCCCCACGAACAGCUUUUAUUGCCACGUUGCCUUCUCCCAAGGCACCCAAACCUCCUCUGUAUUGAGGGGUGUGUGCAGGUGCGUGUGUAGGGGGUGGGAGAGUUGAGCUGUGUGGAGGAGGGCAGUAAUGUCUUAGAGGACAUGUUUCCAGCACUGGGCUGGGUCCUUGGUGUUUGCUCACUGAGCUCUUCUCACCGUUAUGGUUCCCGUGUACAGAUGCUGAGGCUGGGCACGCCCGCAGGUGCACAGCUGGUCCGGGUGGGCUGGGAGGCAGCCUAGACUGUCUGGCUGCGGGUGCCAGCUGCCCUUGCCCUGCGUCUCGCUCAGCCCACCUGGAGCUCUUCAAGCCAUUCAGGAGCCACUCGAUGUGCGACAGGGACAGGUCUCCUGUUCCUGACGGUGGCUGCUCCUCCGCUUCUCCACGCUCGACUGCAAGAUCUGAGUCCAUUGCACCAUCUGCCGGGUUUGUUUUUUCCAACAAACCUCGGCGUUUGCCAAGGCCGCCAAAGGAACAUCGCCUUGCCAAGGGCACAUUUUACAUGGCCGAAAAAAGCAACUCUGUUAGAAACCUACUUUUAUCUCAACUAAAACAAAAACAUUAUCCUUUUAAAGAAGAGAAUAUUAUUUUGACUACAUUAAAACCAUUAACUUUACUUUAAUUUUUUUGUGUAUGGGGGUAGUGCGUGUGUCCAGGCGUCUAUUCAGACUUUGGGAACAGUGACGGGGAGGGGCAUUCAUUGUCUACAGGUGGUGUCCCUGAGCACCCGCCAACUCCUUUCACACUUACACAAUGGUCACUUGUGCGUCUAGAUCUCGUCUCCACCAGCAGAGUGGAAUAUCGGGGGCCAGUGGGGCCAGUGACUCCCAUAAAAGUCCUUCCAAAAGUCCCCCUAGGUCCUCAAGGCUUAGGAUGUAAGCACUGGGUCUGGUCGAAACGCAUCGCCACCUUUUGUGCUAAACCACUCAUCCUCCAUCCCACAGUCACCUUUACAUGAUGCCCUCAAUUUUCACACAAAGCAUCAUUUUAUGAAACGGUCUGAUGUGGAGCAUCUGCCCGUUUUUUGUAAAACUGCUAACCCCGUAUUCUAGAAGAAUACUCCGUCAUGCCGUCCUGUGUCCAUCCCUUGAAGACGCAGGCAGCACAUUCUUUCCACAGCUCUGCCUUAGGAAAAACCUUCUUUCUCUUGGAGCUCUUCCUGUUUUUUAGAGAACAAGGUCUGAGUAAUUAUCGCUUCUUCUCUUUGUCACAGCUGCCAGAAAGCUGGCGCUAAGUUUUGUGCUGCAAUGGAGGUCGUUUAUUUCAGCUCAGGUUUUCUGGUGAGGAUAUUUGCCUCCUUCACCUUAUUCUUUGACUCCUGUCUUUUUAUUCUUGCUUCAGUGGUUUGUGGAUUGAUUGCAUCCUUCUUAGUGUAAAUUGCCCCAAACCUGCUCUGGAAAUAGGCCACUUUCCUCUCCAUCAGGGAUGUGGGCCAGGUGGUGGCUGCGACUUGACUGUCAGAGGGAGCUGAAUGUUCUCGGAAAGACGAUGCCAGUGUUCCGAGGUAAGAGCUUAUCUACCUCUCUGAGCCUCAGCUUUCUCAUCUGCCAAUAAAGGAUAAUCUCACCAUCCACCUUUCCAGCCCCUGCUGGAAAUGGGAGAUAAGGUUUUUAAACUGCUGAGCUUGGACGCAUAAUAGUCUCAAAUCUUUAUGUCCUUCUUCUGAGUGACCUUGGGUUGGUCUGAUCAGGGCUGGCUUCCUGGGUGUGUGACCAGCCCAGUCGCAGAGCCUGUGCUCAAAAAGGCCCUGCACUUGAGGUUAAAUGCUCUGUGGUGGCCAUCUUGAAAUCCUUAAUGGUUUUAUCUUUGAAUUCGCGUUUUGUCAGCUGAAGUCUGAUGGGACGAUGGAGCCUGUGCCCCCUGCUGGUUCCCUGCGGCCCCUUCCUCUCCCACUCACCGCUGCUCUGCAACCUCCACUGCCCCCGCCCCCCAGCGGAGGCCUGGGUGGGUGCGGGGAGGGUCAGGGUAGGUGCGCUGGGUUGCGGGGUGGUGCUGGGCGCCUUUGAGGGUCUGCAGUCACUCUGCAAAUAUCCCUGUGCCCAAGCAAGAGUGACAUAAAUAGCAAAUAAAAAGCACCACGACGGGUUGAGAGAGAGACUUCGGAAGAAAAGGGAAAGCUUUUUGAACCAGAGAGCCUGCGUGUUCAUUUUGUGCCUGGCUCUGCAAAUUACGUGGCUGGCUCCGGGUCUGAUGGCUUCUCCUGAUGGUUCCAGAGUCCGUCUGUGAGUAUCAGUCUUAUGAGAGGAAGCUUCCUUGACUUCACUACUUAAGGAGGGGAGGAGGAAAGAAGGAAGGAGGGAGGGAAGGAAGAAGGAAAGGGAGGAAGGAGGGAGGGAGGAUGGUAGUUUCAUUUCCUAGGCGGCUACCACCAACUGUCACAACCCAGAUGGCUUAAAACAACAAAAUGUAUUAUUUCACAGUUCUGGAAGCUGGAAGUCUGAAAUCAAGGGGCCACAGGGCCACACCAGCUCUGGGCCCUGUAGGGGAGCAUCCUUCCCAGCUUGUGGGGGUUGCCAGCAAACCUAGUGUUCCUUGGCUUGAAGACGUAGCACUUCAUUCUCUGCCUCCACUCUCACGCCACCUUCUCCCUUGUGUGUCUCUCCUCUUUUUGUAAGGACACCAAGUGUCUCAGGCAGUCCAGCUGCUAUAACGAAAUGCCAUAGGCUGGGUGGUUUAUACACAGCAGAAAUUUAUUUCUCGUGGUUCUGGAGGUUGGAAGUCUGGGAUCAGGGUGCCAGCAUGGUUGGGUUCUGGGGAGAGCCUGCCUCUGGGUUGAAGACUGCCAGCUUCUCCUUGUAGCCUCACACGGCAGAAAGAGAGCUACCUAGUUUUCUGGCCUCUUCUUAUAAGGGCACUGAUGCAUUCAUGCGGGCUCCAUCCUCAAGACGUGUUUACCUCCCCAAGCCGCCUCUGCCGAAUACCGUCACAUUGGGAUUAGGGGUUUGGGGAGACACACUCAUUUGGUCUAUAACACCAAUCACGUUGGAUUUAGGGCCCACCCUAAUCCAGUAGGACCUCAAUUUAACCUGAUUACAUCUGCAAAGAUUCUGUUUCCAAAUAAGGUCACCUUCACAGGUUCUGGGUAGACAUGGAUUUUGGAGGGACACUAUUCAGCCCAAUACAGAUGCACCUGGCAGUUCAGGACCUUUGGUAAUUCCAAGAGCUUCCCCUGGAUGGAAUAUAGACAGACAGAUGUUUGUUAAAGGGCCAUGAUACUGAGGGGUGGCUGAUAAUGACACAGGAGAUGCAAACAGGCAGACCCCAAAGAGACCUACAGCAACGAGUUGAGUAUUGCCUGUGGGUGGGCUGAACUGCAAGGGGCACCCACACCACAUCUGCCAAACUUGCCUGAGUCUCAUUCAUUCUUGCAUCCAUCCAACUGUUAUUUAUUGAUGUCUUCUCUAACCCAGGUACCACGCCAGGUGCUGGAAUGCAAGGUGAGGAUGACAAACUGAGAAGUGCUGUAGAGACAGGGGACAAGGAACUGCCUGGGAAGGUGCGUGAGGGCUUCCGUAGAGGUGCCCAUGGAGCCGGGUGUGGAGGAAGGUGAGGCUGGUCUGGCGGGUGGCUAAGAGGCCGUGUGGAGGGCGUCCAGCGAGGCCACUGCGUGGGCCAUGUCAAGGUGCUGGGAACCUCAGCCUGUGCGCAGGCUAUGGCAUGUGGUUCCUUUUGCUGAUCGUGGAUGGACGGUGGGAGCUGACUCAGGGAAAGGAACUGGGGAGGCCAAACUCAACAAAUGAUGACAGAGGAGGCAGCUUAACAAACACUUCAGGAACGCACUAUUAGUAACAGAAAAUAGCUGGAAACGCCCAAAUGUUCACCGUGAAAGGAAUGGUGAGACAACCGGAGGCGUGUCCCCACAGCCAAGUGCUCUGCUGCGUGAAAAAGAGCAAAGCGAGUUUAUGUAUGCAAACACGGAAGGAAAUCCAACCCAGACUGUCGACUGGAAAAAGCACAUUGCAAAAGAAUGCAUAAUCUGGGAGAUAUACGUAUGCAAAGAAAAAACCCAAAUGUAUAUUUCAAAGGCUCUCACAUGUGUCCAUAAUGGCUUCACGUUUGCACGUGCUCAGGAAAAGAUCUGGAAAGAUAAAACACAAAUUGUUAUUGGUGGUUAUUUCGGGGCAGUGGGAGGAUGGUAGCAGGAAUGACCGUGGGAACCUACCCUGUUUUUUACAUAAAGGUUGUAUUCAUCCCUCCAUUCCUGGGCUGUGACCAGGGUGUGAGCAAAGGGUAGCACCAGCCCACAGCCUGAGAAUGCACUUUACUGGGGGCUUGGGAAGAAGGCACAGAAGGCUAUCGCCCCAAUUAUAUUUUGACUCUUCUCUUCCAGUCCUCCCAAGCUCGGCUUUCCACUUACACUACUCAUGGUCUCUAAUAAAUGGCGUGCCCCUCAUUACUGAUAUCUGUUUUCUGCUGGCAGGAUUAGCGCGUUCUUUGGGCGACCGGCUGCGGUUCUCAAGACUGAUAAGGAAGCCUGCACCAAUCUCUGUUGGAGGCCAGCGUCCUGAUAAGCGUGCUCUCUGUCUCCAGGCAUCUUCCGUGGAAUCCCUCUGGGAGGGUUUUGCCUGGUACCCUAAUGCUCGUGGAAUGAACACACCGGAGGCCUGCUGUCUGGGUCUGCAGAUAGAUGAGGGUGAGAGGCUGCGUGAACCACUUCUUGCUUUGCAAGAAGCAGGCGCUGCCCUCAGAGGUCAAAUGACGAGGGUGGUGGCAGGCAUUCCGUUGCAAGACAUUUGGAUGUGUGUCCAACAGCCCUUAGCAGGGCAGGCCUGGGAAUCAGGAGACGUGGGCUGGAGUGAUCUGCAUAGAGUUAUGUUGAAGUUUUUACUUUGGCAAAAAAAAGAAAAGAAGAAGAAAUAUUUUUCUGAUGACAUAUAGCUGAGAAGUCUAUAAAUGUUUUAGGAUGACAUAGUCGGGGGGAAUCCUGGAUCAUAUCUAAAAAGAUGGAGUUUCAUAAGAAAAAUUGACUUGGCUUCAGGAAAACCAAUUGCACAGAUAUAAGGAAGAUGUGUCUGAAUGAUGGCAGGUGUGUGAGGGGCUGCGGAUCCAGAGGAUGACGUAAUGCAUUCAAGGGGUGAGAGACGCAGCCGCAGGAUGCAUUCACAACAGUGUAGAACGUGGAACGAAGGCACAGAGGACAAUCCUGGAUCCUCUGGGAAGCUCACUUUCUCAGAACUGGUUGGAAGAAGUAAUUUCCCAGGAGUCCCAUUCUAGUCACAGAAAGAACUUUCUAAGAGUGAGAGCUGUCCGAGGAUACAUAGGUUUCCUUGGAUCAGAGUGAGCUCCCUGUCGCUGGAUGUAUGCAAGCAGCCACAGGGCAGGGAGGCUGCACAGGGCCAGGUACCAGGGCUGUUCUCAUUGUCAUCUUCCUUCCCAGCAGUGGCACCAUGCAUGGCUCAGACACAAGCCAUAAUAAUUGCCUAAUUAGUGAAUUGAUGAAUAUCACAAAUCUGGAGAAAAUCGAUGGGCUGCGGUGUUCCUUCCAGGUCUGGAUGCUAUGGUGCCAUGAAAUCCCCACGAGAGAAGAGGCAUCUACUAGUUUCUUACUUCUGCUGUAACAAAUCACCACUAACUUAGUGGGCUAAAACAACACACAUUUAUUCUCCUGAAGUUCUGGAGGUCAGAAGUCCAAAAUCAGGACCCCUGGGCUGAAGUCAAGGUGUUGGCAGGGCUGGCUCCUUACAGAAGCUUUCAGGGUAGAUUCCGUCUCCUGCCUUUUCAGUUUCUAGAGGCCACCUGGAUUCCUCGACUCGUGGCCCCUUCCUCCAUCCUCAAAGCUCUCAGCUCCAAGCUCUUCCUACAUCGUCACUUUCCCUUCUCUCUUCUGUGGUCGCAUCUCCCUCUGCCUCCUGCAUAUAAGAACAUUUGUGAUUCCACUAGUGACGCACCCAGAUAAUCCAGGGUAACCUCUCCAUGUCGAGAGAGAUGUCUCCAUCUUCAUCACAUCUGCAAAGUCCCUUUUGCCACAUAAGGAAAAUUCUCAAGUGCCAGGGACUAGGGUAUGGCCACUUUCGUGGUGGGGGAGGGGGGGAGCAUGAGUUAUUUAAAUUACCACCGGGUGGAAGAGAAUAAAACCAGGAGUGGGUUAUUGGAGGCACCUCCCUGUCUGGGGAAGGGAAGAAAGUGGAACUAGGGAAGGAGGCAGAAGAAAGAAGCCACGAAGUUCAGAGGACCCACGACCACGUGGUGACCAGCAACCUGGGGAGAAGGAUACGGGGGAGUUGGAAAGAGAAGGUGGUGGCCAGGGUGGAGAAAGAUCAGGGUUUGGCCUGACUCUUUCACUGUAGCAUCCUCAGUUCCUGGAGCUGUGCCUGACAUAUAGUAGCUUCUCAAUAAGGGUGCGUUGAAUGAAUGAAUAACUGGGGAUGUUGCUACUGGCUGAAGAAACAGCUGUGCUGGUGGGCCUGGGUCAGCAUCUUCCCAAGGCCGGGCUCUGUAAAUCCCCGUGGGAAGCUGAGAUACGGGCUGGGCAUGACCUGUGCCAGAAUGAGAACUGGGCCCCGACGAGGCUAGCCUCUCCACCUGCUCUGUUUCAGAGGCUCGGCGGCCGCCUUCAGAGCAUGAGCUUUGUGUAAGGUUGCAUUGAACCCAGAGAAAAGGUGAAGGCAUGCGGCCCGGAAUACUGAUGGGGAUUUGGCACGCAGAAGUGAGAGCUCUGCGCAGUUUAAGGCCUUGGGUUUUGUCCCACUUUCUGAAGGAGAAGAUGUGAGACUUAGCAAGCACCGAGCGUCCACGUGUACACGCCAAGGAACAGAUACCGUGCCAAUGAGCAAACUGUGAUUCAGAAAACCUUCUCCCUCUUCCAAUCUUUCCUGCUUCGGAGACAGAACGCAAAUGUCCCUGCGUUCCAGCUGUAACGCAAGUCUUGCCGCUGAUUAAAGGGCAGACCUGGAAACUCUCCGGUGAGCUAUGCUCCUAACUAUGUCUCCUGCUCACUCCAUCCAGCAGACAGAGGACAGCUUUUCCUUGCUGUUUAUUCACUGGAGCUGCUGGGGCCCUUCACAUUUAAUUAUGUGUGCUUGCAAAAUAAAUGUGGAAUGAAAUGUUCGCAUUCCCCGAAGUUGAUGCUGUGGCAGGCCGGGAUGAGUGAGGAUGCUGUCUCUGUGCCGAGCAUAGCGGGGGCUUUGAGCCUUGUGCAGACGGAUGGAUGCUGCGAAAGCCAGAGCGCCUUACAUUCCUCUGCUGGGUUGGUACCAGGCAUGCACAUGUCAGCCUCCUGUUAAGGGCUUUGAUAUUGGAUUUCUUAGAAUUCGGAGACAGUUAUUCAUUUAUCAAAGCCUACAAGUUAGUGCAGAAUAAACUCUCUGUAAGGCACUAUGCUGACUCUUAGCAGAGGAGGCUCCGGGCUGUAGGUUCAUUCAUUGAAUCGAUCCUUCAUUCGUUCAUCCAGUACCCACGGGUGUCUACCUUGUACCAGGCACUGCAAACACAAGGUGAAAAGGACUGGCCUCUGUUGGCUGGAGUUGGUGGGUGACAAGCAUGCAAUCAGCCUCCCUCGGGCUCCAUGUGGGAGACAGGGUCUGUAUAACGCCCUCCGGGUGCACAGAGGAUGGAGUGACCAUCAACCUGGGGAAGGUGCGGGAAGCCUCCAAUGGAGGGGCAUUGGUGGGAUCUUGAAGGGGGAGGAGCGAUUUGAUUUUCCAGGUAACCAAGUAAGGGGUGGGGAGAGCGUGGGUCCCAGGGAGAGGGGAAGAGCAGCCUCUGACACCUGCCCAGAAGUUUGUUCAUGUGUCAGUUCAGGGCGUCUGAUGGGCAGGGCAGAGGGUGAGGGGAGAAACGGCCAGGACAGAUGGUAAAGAUCCGCAAGUCUUGUUUUUCCCUGCAAGUAAUAGGAUUACAGUGAAGAUAUUUAAACAAAGGAGCAGCAUGGCUGAUGGGGGGCAGCAUGACAGGUGAAUCCGGGAGAUGAGAGCCUGGAGGCUGGGAGGUGGGGGUAUGUUCCAGCUGCUGGACAGUACUGUGAGGACCACAGCUAAGCAGAGGGGAUGGAGAGAGAGGCCGGUCUCGUGAAGUGCUUAUUGAGGGGGUGUGUUCUGGGCUGAAUUGUGUCUCCCCCAUAAUUCAUAUAUUGAAGCCCUGACCCCCAGUACCUCAGUGUGACUGUAUUUGGAGACAGAGCCCUGAAACAGGUAACUAAGGUGAGUCAUUAAAGCAAGGGGAGAUGGCCAAGUGAGAGCAGUGGGAGCAUCCUCGUUUCUGGAAGGAAGAGAAAGGGAGGGACCAGCACUUUGGAGGAUACAGGGUUGAGGGGAGAGUUAGCCCAAGAGGUUUGCCUCUGCCCGUUUGAAGAUGGUGCUUCUGCCUCCUGUGCAGCGAAAUAAAGAUGCUCAGCCCGCUGGUCCCCAGCCUCCCGCCUUUGCAAAUGCUCUUCCGUCUUCCACCACCACCCGGCCUCUCUUCUACCCAACACGUGAGGCUAGUGGAGUUGACGACUCUCUUGCAUCCCUUCUCUCUCUUCAACCAAUCACAGUUCAUUUGUCGUAGAUCUCUGGCCCUUACACUUUAGUUCUUGAUUACGUGGCCAUCUUGCUUCCCCCAUCCCUUAUCACAGCUUCUCCAGGAGGAGGCUCUGCGCAUCUCUAGUCUUCUCACUACCCUCCACAGAGGCCUGCACCCAGAGUAGACCCACAGAGAAUGGAAUCGCAUCUCUGGCUGGGAGGAGGGAUGAAGGUGACUCAUUUUCCCAGGCAUCUGUCCACUGUCUGUGUUCCUCUCCCAUGAUGUCAGGGGUCACCCAGUGGAGUUACCACUCCAGUGAUGGCAGAGUUCCUCCUCUGGAAGCAGCCUGGUUUGUAUUCUUAAUCAUAACAAUAGACCCCACCACUUACAUCUGACACAUGACGGGAGGGACUUAUGCCAGGAUGGUCACAAGUGGGAUUGCACCCUGGACAGUGAGUGUGAAUGGACUGCUCUACCACCUCCAUUCCACAGAUGUGCCAGAAGGGCGCAGAGAGGGCUAGUGAGCUGCCCAAGAGAAUACGGGUGGGAAAGGUGAAGAGUUGCUUUGGGAAUCCAAACCCCAGCUCUGUGCUCCUCCCACCAUGGGUGCAGCCUCAUAAGAUUCUGAUAUUUAGCACCUAUGGGUGCUCACAACACGUGGACGAGAUUGGCUGAUCCAGUUUGGUGACAGGACAGAUUCUGGCUGAAUGAGCUGCUGGCAGCAAAGUGGCCAGAGGCUUUGACGAGGACAGACCAGUUUGCAACGUGUGGGUGAUGCCCCGUGAGCACAUAGGCAGAGACUGGAUUUAAUUUGGUUCCUUCUUAGAGACCAAAUGGCUCAAGAUUGGGGAAGGGGGAGCACCUCUGUCCCAGCAGGACCACGUGCUACCAUCUAGCAGCAUCAUCACUAGUCCACAAGAGCACUUCAUCUCGUGAGGAUUCACCAUGGAAGGUGCUGGAAGCUUUAUCCUGGGAGGCAGGGGGAUGGAAGGGCUGUCCAGGGGCCACCUGGAAAGAAGAAGUACCAAGGGUGGAAAGUUCCUUCAUCCUGCUUCCUGCUUACCUUAUUUUUAAACUAAGAAUAAAAACAACAAAAAUAAGUAGAAAAUAAUACUCAGAAAAGCAAAAAGGAAAAAUGAACUAGAAAGGAAAACCAUGAUGGAGGCAGGUUGAAAGCUGGGGAGAAAGGAUUAAAAAGGAUAAAUUCAAUAAUCUAACAUGAUCUGAGGGCAACGUUUAGCUCCUGGACCCUGAAGCCUCAGUCUGGGGACUCAGAGUGGGUGCUCCAGGCACCGGGAUGCAAAGCCAGCCCAGGGCUGAGCGCUCAGCCACUGCUCCAUGGUUCCCAGUGAGUGUGGAACAGCCUUGUGGGCCUUGGCCUCUGCUCUCGGUCCCUUGUGGCCCCUCUCUCCCCCUGGCGGCUUGUCCUUCACCAGGACAUGCUUUAUUCUUGGUUGCAGAGUUGCUGGUCCAUCUCUGGCUGGGAUGCAAAGCACAUCUUCUGGUCAAAGUCCUGCAGGGCAGUGCCUUCUGACUCUGCCCUAUUCUUGUCUGCUCAACCCUGUUAUCAGUGUCAUCAGAUGCAAACUUGGACCACCUGUGGAUAAAACUUGCAAACGACACAAGGCUGUGCAGGACAUUAAGUUUGCUGGAAAUAAUUCUGGAUCCAAAAAGACCCUGUGGGCUGGAUUUUGCAAUGAACAGAAUGUGCUGGAAUGUGGUCAAGAUGGCGCUGCCUCGGCAUCCUGGUGUGAGCACCAGAGAGCUUGUACUCUCCAUGUCCGAUUAUGAGAAAUGCCAGUCGAAGAACCCUACUGUGGCCAAUUUGUCUUAUCGUGUUACUUAAUGGCACUUACAUUAGAGAAUAUGUGACUCGUGUUUCUUUUUGAAUUCCUGCCAGGAAAAAGUUGGUUCUGACUCAAGGCCCACCAUCAUCCUUUUAUCUGUCAGUGGAAAUCUGUCAUGCUUCCCUUUUUGCAUCGUCUUCCAGGAAGCUCUGUGUGAAAGCUUGUGCCAAUGUCAUAACCAUCAAAUUUCAAGGGCCUGGAGGAACUAGCUAUGUCUUCCUUUCAUAUAUUUGCAGCUUCUCCAUUUUGCCUGUACUGCGUGCUGUGUCAUAUGUAUGUUUAUUAUAAGGCACUUGGAUAUCUUUAUAGACAGACUGGUGAGGACAGUUGGAUGGAAUGUGUUGGUUUCACGACAAGACAUCUGAAAAUGACACUUGAAGAGUCAGUCGGCUGUAAAUAUAGAUGAGUCAGGACCAUGCUGUGGCUGCCCAAGCAUCCCUGGACUCUGGGACUGAAAUAGCCCACCACGUCAAGGCUAGAGAAGGUUCUGGUUCCCCUGAGCUGUGCCCCAUCAGAUCAUGUUUGCAGCGUGGCCCUGAGUCCCAGGCUGGACUUUAAGAGGGGUGGGGGCAGGCAAGGUGUGUCUAAGCUGAUGGGCACCUUGGUCAGGGAAUGAGAAAGACUGACUCAAGGUGGUCUUUCUAAACACUUCCAGAUGAGGGGGUCCAGGGCGAGGAGCUGGAAGCUGGCUCAGUACAAGGAUUUCCCAGAUCAUUAGGUCCUAUGUGAAUUACUGGUGAUGAGGUCCCAGUCAAGAGAGGUUACCAAGAAGAGGCAUUUGGCUCCUUUCCUAGGAUAGUGUAGAGGGGUUUUGUGCACGAAGUGGAGUUGAGCUUCCAUCUGGGAAUCGAUUACUUCACAUCCUAUUGACAGACUGAUGUGGGAAAGCUUCUCAGCCGGUCAACCCAGCCACACAGAGACUCCUGGAGGCAUAGGGACCUUCCCAGCAUCUGAGCGCAUCCUCUUCUCCAUUUUUCAGGAAUCAACAUUUUGCCCUGCAGCCUGCUCUUCGUCUGGUCCCUCGCAUGUGUCCCAGGAUUCCAUUGUGACAUCCGACAAUUCAACUUCGCAGACAUCAAUUGAGAUCCUAGGGUGCAAAGUCAAGGCAGCCACAGGCCCUUGUCCUCUGGGAGGUCCCACGGCCUCAGGAGAGGCAGCCGCGGGACGGAGGAUCACAACAGACUGUGACAAGGAGGUCCAUGAUGGAAAUGUUGGGAGAGGGUGGGGGGUCCAAGACAAGCCCCACCCAGCUUGCAUGUGUGCCAAGCCCAGGGAAGUAUCUGGUUACAAAGUUGGGUAAGACUCGACCCCUGUGCUUAAGGAGCCCAGGUGGAGGGACUGGGCGUGGUGGGGAGGCAAACCCACACCCAGGUAACCACGUGUCAAGUGCAACUCAAGGCAUUACGGGUGCCUGGAGCUGUGCCACCCGGAAGUCACACUGGACAAGGAUGAGAGUGUGUGGCAUACAGAGGUAAGGGACAGUGAGGCGCAGUGAGCCUGAGUAGGGCGGGACACAGCGAAGAGGCGACCCUUGUGUCCAUCAGGUGGGAACAAGGCCAUCCAGGCAGAUGGGGCCUGGGCACAGGCGUCCACUGCGUCUUUUUGUUGUAUUGCCUCCCUAACUCUGGGGCUGUCAAUGGCAUCCUGCUCCUUGAUGAUAAUGGGGAAACCAAUCACACAAGGGACCGGGCUUUCUGAUGCUGAUUUCCCUUCAACAAUUUCCAGCUUUUUAAUAGGAUUCAUCCGCCAUUCUAGAGAGAGCACUUAAUGCCGUCCAGGAAAGGAGCUGGCAGUGAUACUAAAAGCCAAAGGAAGGAGAGAGGAGAAGGAGGCAGAGAGAAGCCAACACGAGGACUGAGAGACGUUUAAGCAAACCCGGGAAUGAACAGAGCGGGUGGGGAGAGCCCUUGGAGAGGCUGGGCCUCUUCCUGGCUAUGGGCAACUUCGGGGAAGGAAGGCUGAGCUCCGGGGUGCUCCCCCCAAUGGCUUGCACCCCUUAUUUCAGUAUUCUACUCCACACUCAGCCUGCACUAACAAGGAAUCAAAGACGUCUCUGAAGUCCCCAGUGAAUCCACUGUCCACUGCUCAUUGCCCCUUGACUGGAUCCGUCUUCACUGUGGAAAGAGCAUGCAUGUGUGAAUAGAGGCCCGGGGAGGCAGCCUGGGCAGCCCGCUUUUCUCAGGACCCCACUAAUGUGGCAUGGCCUGGGUGCUCACCACUGUGGACAUCUGAGCCUUUUAGACAAGAGGGCCAUUUGUCACCGUCAUUGGUUUCCAGGAAAGCGCCCUUGAGGCGGCCCCCGUCCUUCCUGGAGGUGCCAGGUUCUCAGCGUCUCCCUCUCAGUAUGGAAGCAUCGUGGAGAGGGCUGAAAGAGACAGCCCCUUGGGUCAGCGCUGCCGACUGCAAUUCAAUGCAAGACUUUGGGAUCCAGGAAAGGUUUCCUUUUGCUCAAGACCUUCAGUGAGCAGACAGGUAUUUAUGCCCCGGCCCGCAUGUGCCGCCCCUGCCCUGUGCUUCCUUACCUCCGCCUCACCUGCCCCUGCGGGCUUAUUUGGUACCUUCCUCCCACCGGCAUGUCAGCUUCCAAGGCAGGAGCGUCUGGCCCUUCUGCUCACUGUCACAUCCCCACACCUCAGCGUGUGCCUGGCUCAUGUCGGCCCCCCAUAAACAUCAGUCUCCUGAACAAGUGAAGUGCUAGGGUAGGAGUCAGGACGCCUGGUGUAAGGCCGGCCCCACUGCGUGACCCCGAUAAAAUGAGUUAACGUCUUUGAGCCACAGCUUUCUUAUUGCAAAAUGGCCUGAUAAUGGAGUCCACCCUCUGCACUUGUGGGGAAUAUGUCCCUACGGCUCUGGAGUCCCCGAGGCACGGAUGUGAUUUCUCCCUGAAGUUCAGUCCGAUGUCAUAGAAAAGGACCCAGUGAACCAAUUAAUCAACAGGGGAGAAACAUCACAGGCGAGGCCAGUAAGCAGGUUUCUCCUCUGCCCCUGGUGUUUCUCAGGAGCAUCCUCGGGGCCAAGCCUGUCCUAGCAGGGUCACCGCCUGGUGAGCCAGGAGAGAGCUAAGCCACACCAGGGCCACGGUCACCUGAGGUCAGAUCAGUCACCAGCCAAGUGAGGCCCGCAGCUGCCAGCUCCCCCUGCCAGGGUCAGAUGGCUGCCUCAGCAAAGUGGCAAAUUCCUUCUUGUGUGGAAUAGUUGAAACCUAGACUUUGGAAUUCACAGAUGCCUGGGAAUCCUAGGAUACUGUUCAGCGAGCUGGCGUCUUUGAAAGCAGAGUGGCUGGGCCACGUGGUGUGAACUUUACCCAUUGAUUUGCAUUUUAUUUUUCCACCUGUAGAUCAUACGCCUUUCCCUGGACAUACUUGCUCCGUCCCCACACAGACUUCCCCAUGCUUAAGGAUGGCCUGGGAGUCUCAGAGAGGGUGGUCCCAAGGCAAUGAGGCCUCCCUGAGCCUCACGUGAGGUCCCGCUGUCAGACCCUAAAAGCCACUUUAGGACCCACUAACAGUGCUUCUCCAGAAACACGGGGACCUCGGAGGAUGGCUCCAAGGGAAACUGCUCCAUCUACUGGGGUCUGGGGAGCAAGGUGGCUGCCAGUGUCCGUGCUUGCUGAGGACACUUGGGAGGCCCAGGGGUAGGCUGAGGGUGAGGACUGCAUCUCUGUAGGGUCCCAGGCAGCAAACGUUUACUCUGAGAGUAGGUAGAUGGGGGUAAUGUGAGGCUUAGAGUAUAGUCAUGCUCCUUGGGGGAGAUGAAAUCAGGUGUACAGUGAGACUUGGGGUGAGCCGCCCUGGGGACCAGCUUACGAGGCUGGGUUCAGAGGAGACGGACGACUCAGGCCUGCCUGGCCUCUGCUCCCUCCUGGCGUGGCUUCCACAUCCUCCAACCGCUGCACCUCCCCAUACAAAGGGCUCCCUCCUCAGACAGCCUGGGGAUGUGCGCUCGCCGUGUAUUUGCUUUCUAGGGCUGCCCACAAAGUCCUGGGUGGCUUCAAACAACAGACUGUGAAGUCAGGGUGCUGGCAGGGCCACACUCCCUCCAAAGGCUCCAGGGGAGGAUCCCUCCUGGUCUCUUCCAGCUUCUGCUGGCUCCAGGUGUCCCUUGGCUUGUGGCUGCAUCACUCCAAUCUUUGUCUCUGUGGUCACAUGGCGUUCCCCCUGUGUGUAUGUCUUCUUAUAAGAACGCCAGUCCGAUUGGCCUCAGGGCCCACCCUAAUGGGGCAUGAUCUCAUCUUAAUUAUACUACAGUCAUGUGCUGCAUAACCAUAUUUUGGUCAACGAUGGACCACCUAUAUGAUGGUGGUCCCACAGAUCAGUACCAUGUAGCCAGGUGAGUAGUAGGCUACACCAUCUAGGUUUGUGUAAGUGCACGCUGUGAUGUUCGCACAACGACAAAAUCACCUAACGAUGGACCACCUAUACGACCGUGGUCCCAUAGAUUAGUACCAUGUAGCCAGGUGUGCAGUAGGCUACACCAUCUAGGUUUGUGUAAGCGCACUCUGUGAUGUUUGCACAACGACAAAACCGCCUGAUGACGCUUUUCUCAGAACGUAGCCCCGUCGUUAAGCGACGCAUGACUGUAAUUACAUCUACGAACACCCUAUUUCCAAAUAAGAUCACAUCCUGAGGUUCUGGACAGGUGUGAAUUUUCGGGGGCCCUAUUCGGGCCAGUGCGGCCGCUCUCCCAUCUCACAAGAGGUACUGUGCUCCUUAGCACACUCUGGGAAGUCAGGUAAGAAACAAACCUGUUUGAUUAAAUCCCUUACCAUGUUUUCCAAACUUGUCCUGAAAACGGAGCCCUUUAUUUGCAUAACUUCUGCUGCCGUCCCCCAGAACCGGUCUUCAAGGAACCCACUUUGCAAGCACUGCACACCACCAGCCCGUGUAAAGCGAACAGCUUCCUGCAAUCAUUAUAGUCUGGGAGAGGCUGAGAGCACAUCCUCGUCAGGACAAGCAGUGGAGAGGAGGGGGCAGCACAGCCACUGUGCAGUGGGGGUGGGUGUGGAAGACCCUGGUGCAAUUUGUUCAUAAACUUGGUCUUGAUUUUUCCAGUGGGACCUGAUGGAAAAAAACAGAGUUGUGAAAUAAGAUUUCUUUCAAUCAUUCACACUGUUGUGCACCGAUCUUUUACAUUAACUAAUUGCACCCAACUCCUACUUAUCCUUUAAGAGUCAGCUCUGAGGUCACCUCCUCCAGGAAGCUGCCGUGAGUGCAAGCAUGAUCCCCUGCUCAGGUUUCAUCAUCACUCUGCCUCCUUGAGAGGCAGUGAGCUGCUGUGCAUCUGUGAGCCCCUGAGGGCAGGAAUGGGCUGCUCAGCUCUGUGCCCACCGUUCUUGCAAGCUCGGUGUGAGGCAGAGGAUGGGGCCCCCAGUGUGGAUGGUGGCGCUUGGAGCGUUUGCUGGCCUGGGGACAUGCCUCAGGUGGUUGUGUGAAAGGGACGUGAUUCCUAAUUGAGAAGGUGAAGAAAGGCC
ensembl:lncRNA